rnacentral:rRNA from 1 species
UACGGGGGGGCAAGCGUUGUUCGGAAUUACUGGGCGUAAAGGGCGCGGUAGGCGGUUUGCUAAGUUGGAUGUGAAAACUCUGGGCUUAACCCAGAGCCUGCAUCCAAACUGGCAACUUGAGUACUGGAGGGAAAGCGGAAUCCUGGAUGUAGCGGUGAAAUGACGUAGAUAUCAGGAGGAACACCGGUGGCGAAGGCGGCAUCCUGGACCGACAUGACGCUGAGGAGCGAAAGCCAGGGGAGGCAAACGGG